UAGUCUUUGUGUCUGUGUCUGUGUGUGGAAAUCUGUGUGUGUUUAGCUGUAAUCUCAUGUGAUUGCUCAUGGAAUCAAUGCCGCAGAUGUGAAGAAGCUUCAAGAUGUUGGGAUCUACACUUGCAAUGGCUUGAUGAUGCACAUGAAAAAGCUUAUGCGCUUUCUCUCAUUUUUCUGACGUUCACCAUUGCUGCAAUCAUUGGAUGCGUAGUUUUGUAUACUGGACAAGGGAAGUUCCAUACUAGCACAUCGAAUACAUUGGACUAUGUCGUGUGGCAAGCUAACACCAUUGUUGAGAGUCUUGGGAGUGUAUUGGAUUAUCUUGAAGCGGCUAAGCAUAUCAGAGUGGAUCAACUUUUUUUACCUCCUGAUGUUCAAAACAACAUCAACAAGGUUGAAACUGACAUUAAUACUGCUGCUCCAUGGUUGGUGUAACCAAAUUGCUUUUAUAGUUCCAUGGUUGCAUACCUUGCUCUUAGUUUAUCAUUCUCUUCUGAAUUCUCAUAGUAGGACUUUUGCAUAUGAUCUAGUGAUAGUUCUUGCAACACCUUUGUUUUAUAGCAUAGUUGUGAAGAUUUUGCUCUUCCAUUCUUCAUAUAUUUUAUUGGUCCUCACAAUCUUAAUCAUUCUAGUCAGCCAAAUAGUACCAUCAUUAUUUGCCCUCUCAACCUUACUCAUUGGCUUUGAGCUGUGGGCCUUUCUUCUUGGAAUGUUAUAUGACACGUUUUCAAUCAUAGCCAUGCUUCUUGA